UACGUAGGUGGCAAGCGUUGUCCGGAUUUACUGGGCGUAAAGAGCGCGCAGGCGGUCGUUCAAGUCGCGUGUGUAAGCCCCCGGCUCAACUGGGGAGGGUCACGCGAUACUGAUCGACUCGAAGGCAGGAGAGGGAAGUGGAAUUCCCGGUGUAGUGGUGAAAUGCGUAGAUAUCGGGAGGAACACCAGUGGCGAAGGCGACUUCCUGGCCUGUUCUUGACGCUGAGGCGCGAAAGCUAGGGGAGCAAACGGG
rnacentral:rRNA from 1 species